CAAAUUGUACAGCUAGAAUUUUGGUAAGAGGGUUUUACAUUUUUCACAUUUAGUAAAUAAAAUUUAUUAAGGCUUAUAAAAUUCCAAAAUCAGACUUAAAAAAAAUCACUUUAAAGGCACACUAGCUGGAAUCACUGCUAUAUGGGACUGACAAAGAUGUUAAAAAUAGUAUUUUUUUCUUAUAAGUUAUUUAAUUUUUUACAAAUGUUAAAACAUUCCCCUUUAAGUAUAUCGACGUAUGCCUAAUAAUUAUUGUAACUGUAUCACAUUAAAUACUCGUACAUUUUAUUAUUGUACUUUGCCAGCAUCGGCCUCUCAAGAGUUAACGAGACGACUAGGAGAUGCUUCGAAGCGGAAAGAGAGAGUGCAAGGCGAUCAUACACAAGAAGGGCAUGGGGAGAAAGUGGCAACCAAAACGAAUGCUAACUGAGCAGUCCUUUGGGGAUUUGCAAGAAAGAUCUGCUAAAUUAACUACCGAUACUAACUAAUCAUAGGUCAAACAUCAUAUUCCUUUUCACAUUUCGCGCUGGAUGGUUUAGCCAUAACCACCAGACCCCUUUAGAAUAUGGAUUCACCCAGAGGUAUAAAUUAGAAGUCAAAAGAAAAUUCGGAUAGACUUGUGUACCCCUACUUGCCUUCCACGACAACAUUGUUCACAGAAUAUUGCUAAAAAUAUUAUUAUAUAAAUAAAGGCAAGAAACCAAUAUAACAAUUUACACCAAUAACCAGUCUAAAAGAAAGCUUCACAAAAAUUUAAAAUUUUAUUCAGUUCGAGUUUAUUGGGUAUAACAACAUUGAAUCAGGUUAUGUAGAAAACCCAGGAGAGGUCUGCGCACUCCCUUCCCAGAAGAUUUAAUUUGGAUCAGACUCAAAAACUGAGAGAACCUCGUGGAUUUGUUUACAUUGAAUGGCAAAGUAGGGCCACCGCCAUGGGGCUGUCUAUUCAUUAAUUUCCAGCGGAUUUUGGUCUAAAUUACUGCUAUGCAUUUCAUACUGCUCGCUUUCAAAGGGCGUCUCGUGCGGCCAUAAGAAACGUGAUAUCCAGAAUGAGAAAAAGGAUUCACUCACUCUGAGGAGUCAAAGCAAUUUCAGGCGUUCAAGCCUUCAACUUUUGAAGUUUAAUGUUUUUAUCCGAAAAGUAGGCUGUUUAUUAUUUAUUUGUUUAUGUAACAAGGUCCCCGUGUUCCCUGCUGGGGAGAUCAUUUGUUUUCUGUGCAAGUGGAGAGGGAAAAAUCCCCAAGUAUAACAAGAGACGAACAGUUAGUGCUGAUUUUCAUUUGCAUAAAUUUUCAUAUAUUUUAGUGAAAAUAAUAGCGGUGCAGAGGAGAGCUCCGCUCAGUUGAGUCAGAGGGAAGAAAAUCUUAGGAAGGACCAAAUCGGAGGGAGAGAGUCGUACACUAAUGGAGGCGCAAUGCUUUAUUUGAGACAUUUUUUCAGUUAUCAUGGAAUCACAAGAAAAGAAGCCUCAGCUCUUCCAUCUUCCCUCCCUUCUCCGGAUAGGUCUCCACAACUGCCCCAGAUUCCUUCUGCUGCAUUGGGACGUGGGACAUAGUGGCCACGCUGUGAGCGCAGGCACACACACAUGCACACACAACUUCCAUUUUCAGCUUACACUGCUGCUGGAGCUUUUAGCCUGCUGGCUAUUUUUCUUUGAGAGACUAUAAAAAUAUGCAAAUGCUGUUGUUAAA